rnacentral:lncRNA from 1 species
AGCUUGCCGGGAAUAUCGACGGCCCCAAAGCCUCCUAAGUGCUGGGAAUCUCGUCUGGGGCAGCUUCUGUGCCAGCGGCUCCCUGGGGAGGCCCGUGGCACCCGCGCUGCUGCUCAGGGCCCUCCAAGCUGGGCCAGCAAGGCUCAGGGGCCGCUGCGGGACGGGCAGGCCGCUCAGCUGCCGGAGGCUGGGGAGGCCUCGGCCCGGUCCCGCUCUCGGCUCGCUGCAUACCCUCCGCUCCAGAGGUUCGGGGAGCGCUGUGUGCCCCCACCUACUCCCACAGUCACGGCCUCUCGGAGGGCUCCAGGGAGCCAGCCCCCCGCCGUGCAUGCCCUAGAUGAGGGCCUCCACUGCCAGGCGGGCCUCCACGUGUGCCCCCGCCUCCCCAGGGAGGAGCAGCAGAGCCGCGGUUCCUCAAUCUGUCGCGUGGCAUGACAGCCACUGCCUGGACCUGGAAGAUGCAAGGGUGGGGGGAGGGUGCCGGGAGGGGUGCGUCACUGCGGCACCCGCCUUUGCGGGCCUUUCCCGGGCCUCCCCGGCCCUGGGCCUGACUGCCAUGUGCCCACUGCCCUCCACCCCCCCGCCGCAGCUGAGCGUUACGACACGCUCGGGAACGGUGAUACCAUCUCGGAACUGGAAAAGGGGAAGCGGAACUGCACAGUCACACCCUGGCCCAGGCCUCCUGAUUCCUGCCCUCGGAACCGCCACUUGCCCAGGUCAGUCAUUCUCUUUGGGCCCUCCUUUACCCAUCUGUGAAAUGGAGUUGGAUGACACACAGAUAUGCUCAAGACCACAAUAAACAGGAAUGAAGUUCUGAUACAUGGUACAACGUGGAUGCACCUUGCAAACUUUGUGCCGAGUGAAAGAAGCCAAAGACGAAAGGCCAGACACCGUAGGAUUCCACUGACACGAAGCGCCCAGAAGAGCAAUAGAGAGGCAGAAAGUAGAUUCGUGGCUGCCAGGAGAGGGGCUAUGGAGGAAAAGAGGGGAGUGACUGCUAAUGGGUAAGGGCUUUCUUUUUGGGGUGAUGAAAAUGUCCUAAAAUUGAUGGUGGUAUGGUUGCAUUAGCCCUGUGAAUGCACUAAACACACUGAACUGUGCACUUGAAACGGGUGAAUUGGGUGGAAUGCGUACGAUUUACCUCCAUAUAAUGGUUAGGAAGAAAACCAGCCCAGGUCCGGACGUCAGGCAAAGCUGGUCUGCAGCAGCCCAGAGGUGCUGCGAGGCCAGGAGCGGUGGGACAGCGAGCUGGGGGGCUCGGCUGGGCCUGGACUCCUCAUCCCUGCCCAGGCCUGGUUCCCCAGGACCCUCAGAGUCCAGAACUACCCCACUUCCUUCCAAGGUACUUCUCCGCUCAAGUUAACCUGAAUUUUCUCUGCUCAAGUCAACCUGAAUUUUCUCUGCUCAAGUUAACCUGAAUUGUUUCUGCUGUUAGCAAUAAAAUAAAAAAAAACUAGACCGGCAAAAGGAUAUUUACUGGGUCCCCAGUUCUUAGCAGGCGGUGAGCACUCCAUAAAUGAGCUCGGCAAACAAAUGACCUAAUAAACGUGUAGCCUUAUUACUACCAGUUGCACGGUUUCUGCGGCCCCUUGGCUGCUGGGUGCCAUGCUGAGGGUUGUGCAUGCCUUAUUUCCUGCUGAACCUUCCAAAGUAGAGAUCAAUAGUCUUCUUUUAUAGACAGAUGAAAAAGUGGCCCAAGA